ACGAACGCUGGCGGCGUGCUUAACACAUGCAAGUCGAGCGAGGCCCCUCCCUUCGGGGAGGUGUCCUAGCGGCGAACGGGUGAGUAACACGUGGGCAACCUGCCCUCAGCUCUGGGAUAACCCCGGGAAACCGGGGCUAAUACCGGAUACGACCUCGUCAGGCAUCUGUCGAGGUGGAAGUUUUUCGGCUGAGGAUGGGCCCGCGGCCUAUCAGCUUGUUGGUGGGGUGACGGCCUACCAAGGCGACGACGGGUAGCCGGCCCUGAGAGGGUGACCGGCCACACUGGGACUGAGACACGGCCCAGACUCCUACGGGAGGCAGCAGUGGGGAAUAUUGCGCAAUGGGCAAAAGCCCGACGCAGCGACGCCGCGUGAGGGACGAAGGCCUUCGGGUUGUAAACCUCUUUCAGCAGGGACGAAGCGAAAGUGACGGUACCUGCAGAAGAAGCACCGGCCAACUACGUGCCAGCAGCCGCGGUAAUACGUAGGGUGCAAGCGUUGUCCGGAAUUAUUGGGCGUAAAGAGCUCGUAGGCGGUCUGUUGCGUCGGCUGUGAAAACCCGGGGCUCAACCCCGGGCCUGCAGCCGAUACGGCAGACUAGAGUUCGGCAGGGGAGACUGGAAUUCCUGGUGUAGCGGUGAAAUGCGCAGAUAUCAGGAGGAACACCGGUGGCGAAGGCGGGUCUCUGGGCCGAUACUGACGCUGAGGAGCGAAAGCGUGGGGGAGCGAACAGGAUUAGAUACCCUGGUAGUCCACGCCGUAAACGUUGGGCGCUAGGUGUGGGUUCCCUUCCACGGGAUCCGUGCCGCAGCUAACGCAUUAAGCGCCCCCGCCUGGGGAGUACGGCCGCAAGGCUAAACUCAAGGAAUUGACGGGGCCCGCACAAGCGGCGGAGCAUGUGGCUUAAUUCGAGGCAACGCGAAGAACCUUACCUGGGUUUGACAUGCAGGGAAAUCUCCAGAGAUGGGAGGUCCGCAAGGGCCUUGCACAGGUGGUGCAUGGCUGUCGUCAGCUCGUGUCGUGAGAUGUUGGGUUAAGUCCCGCAACGAGCGCAACCCUCGUCUAUGUUGCCAGCAGGUUCGGCCGGGGACUCAUAGGAGACUGCCGGGGUCAACUCGGAGGAAGGUGGGGAUGACGUCAAGUCAUCAUGCCCCUUAUGUCCAGGCUGCACACAUGCUACAAUGGCCGGUACAAAGGGCUGCUAAGCCGCAAGGUGGAGCGAAUCCCAAAAAGCCGGUCUCAGUUCGGAUCGGGGUCUGCAACUCGACCCCGUGAAGUCGGAGUCGCUAGUAAUCGCAGAUCAGCAACGCUGCGGUGAAUACGUUCCCGGGCCUUGUACACACCGCCCGUCACGUCACGAAAGUCGGUAACACCCGAAGCCGGUGGCCCAACCCUCGGGAGGGAGCCGUCGAAGGUGGGAUCGGCGAUUGGGACG
rnacentral:rRNA from 1 species